rnacentral:rRNA from 1 species
UGCCAGCCGCCGCGGUAAUACGGGGGGUGCAAGCAUUAUUCGGAAUUAUUGGGCGUAAAGCGCGUGUAGGCGGUUCGUUAAGUCUGAUGUGAAAGCCCGGGGCUCGACCUCGGAACUGCAUCCGAUACUGCCUUGCUAGAGGGUUGGAGAGGAGACUGGAAUUCAUGGUGUAGCAGUGAAAUGCGUGGAUAUCAUGAGGAAGACCAACGGCGAAGGCAGGUCUCUGGACAACUCCUGACGCUGAGGUACGAAGGCUGGGGGAGCGAAAAGGAUUAGAUA